rnacentral:rRNA from 1 species
CACACUGUAAACGAUGUGCACUAGGUGCUGGGGCGGAUGCUUCAGUGCCGUAGCUAACGUGAUAAGUGCACCGCCUGGGGAGUAUGCUCGCAAGGGUGAAACUCAAAGGAAUUGACGGGGGCCCGCACAAGCGGUGGAGCAUGUGGUUUAAUUCGAUGGUACGCGAGGAACCUUACCUGGGUUUGACAUACAGCGUGAUAGGUCAGAGAUGAUCUAGCGUAGCAAUACGACGCUGUACAGGUGC